AUUGAACGCUGGCGGCAGGCUUAACACAUGCAAGUCGAGCGGAGAUGAGGUGCUUGCACCUUAUCUUAGCGGCGGACGGGUGAGUAAUGCUUAGGAAUCUGCCUAUUAGUGGGGGACAACAUUCCGAAAGGAAUGCUAAUACCGCAUACGCCCUACGGGGGAAAGCAGGGGAUCUUCGGACCUUGCGCUAAUAGAUGAGCCUAAGUCGGAUUAGCUAGUUGGUGGGGUAAAGGCCUACCAAGGCGACGAUCUGUAGCGGGUCUGCGAGGAUGAUCCGCCACACUGGGACUGAGACACGGCCCAGACUCCUACGGGAGGCAGCAGUGGGGAAUAUUGGACAAUGGGCGGAAGCCUGAUCCAGCCAUGCCGCGUGUGUGAAGAAGGCCUUUUGGUUGUAAAGCACUUUAAGCGAGGAGGAGGCUUCCUGGAUUAAUACUCUAGGAUAGUGGACGUUACUCGCAGAAUAAGCACCGGCUAACUCUGUGCCAGCCGCCGCAGUAAAAC
rnacentral:rRNA from 1 species